CCCAGGCUGGUCUCGAAUUUGCAGUGAUCCUCCUGCCUCAGCCUCCCGAAUGCUGGGAUUACAGGCGUGCUCCACCACUCCUGGUUGUGACCUGCUGAAAGGGGCCCAGGAGACCAGGGAGAUGACGGGGAGAAAGCGGAACCGAGAAAUUCACCUGUUUGAAACUAACCGCCACACUGACCCAGCUCGGUUCCUCUGCGGCUUCCCAAGGCCAGUUAGAAUUCAGUCUUCUAGUUGUCCAGUCAAACACAAUAUCAGCGUCUUCAGGACUCUUCCCUCUGCCUUGCGCCCCAGGUGAUCCCUGAGCUUCCCUAAGGGCCCCAGGUCCUUUCCUUCUCCCACCUCCACUCCCGCCCCCCGCCAGCUUCCCAGCAUCCUCAGGGCCCUCCCUCCCAGGCAGAGCAAGGAACACAGGGAUUCCCUGGACCGGCAGCCAGGGCAGAGGGCGGCACCAUGACUCAUGCGCAUGCGCCCAAACUCUGCCAGCUGCUGCAUGCGCAUGCGCCCACAUUCCUGCCCGCCGGUGCCAGCCUGCCAGCCGAGCCCAUGGUGGAGCUGGGCAUAUCCAGAUGGGAGAGGGCGACUCGCCAGCUUCACGCCUAUCUUUCCUGGAAAUCAGUCCCUUGAGAGCAAAACUUGGUCAGAGUGGAAGGAAGCUACAGAGGAGCCCUCCACAAACGCCUGCACACCUGAUGGGCGAUGGGAGAAAGCCAGCCAAGCGCCGGCUUUCCUGGGGGAAGUGUCUGACUCCUGUGAGCCCAGGACGGCACUGUACUGUGGGCCGGGCACGGGGGUGCACGCCUCUGACCCCUGCAGUCUGGGAGGCUGAGUCAGGAGGAGCGAACCUGUGAGACCAGCUGGGCAUCUUAGCAACUAAGCAAGCUUCUGUCUCCAGAGAAAAAUAAAAGGGCUGGGAUGGAGCUUGGGUUCAGUCCCAGUAACACCACUACCCUC